UACAGAGGGGGCAAGCGUUGUUCGGAAUUACUGGGCGUAAAGGGCGCGUAGGCGGCCUGUUAAGUCGAACGUGAAAUCCCCGGGCUCAACCCGGGAACUGCGUCCGAUACUGGCAGGCUUGAAUCCGGGAGAGGGAUGUGGAAUUCCAGGUGUAGCGGUGAAAUGCGUAGAUAUCGGGAGGAACACCUGUGGCGAAAGCGGCGCACUGGACCACAACUGACGCUGAGGCGCGAAAGCUAGGGGAGCAAACAGG
rnacentral:rRNA from 1 species